GCAACUAGACACAGCCAUGGGCCACCCAAGCUGGCGCAGUGUAAACUAUGGAGGGGUUUUCCCUUCUGAGAACGCAUUUUGCAAUAGUGGCAACGGAAAGGCUAAAUGCUCACAGAUCUUUAUCACGGCAGCACUGUAAAAGUGAAAAAAUGAGAGGCGAACACCGAGAAAGAAGUGAGAAUUGUGCCGCCUCUGCCAUCACUACCUCAAGUACUGUGAAGAAGAGAAAAGAGGACGGCCAUCUGAACUCAUGAGAACAGGGUCCUCCCCACAGAUACAACUAAGCACCCAGAGAACAGGAGGAUAUCCCCCUGCCUCUUGAUUCCUUCAGGAACACACACAGGAUCAGAACGCUGUUGAAGACUGGGGUUAGAGAUGUCAGUAAGACUUAAGGAACUUGGAACAAGUGAAGCCCAUUGUCACUGUUCUUCAGGUCUGCCAGUUCACCUUACUGACUUACAAGGAAGUGAGAAUGUAGUCUUUCUACCCCACUGUCCUCAUAUCCUGGACCAAGCAACAUGAAGCUGGAAUUCAA